UACGGAGGGUGCGAGCGUUGUUCGGAAUCACUGGGCGUAAAGGGCGCGUAGGCGGUCUUAUAAGUCAGAUGUGAAAGCCCACGGCUUAACUGUGGAAGAGCAUUUGAAACUGCAAGACUUGAGUACCAGAGGGGAAGGUGGAAUUCCCGGUGUAGAGGUGAAAUUCGUAGAUAUUAGGAGGAACACCAGUGGCGAAGGCGGAGACCUGGGCCAAUACUGACGCUGAGGUGCGAAAGCGUGGGGAGCAAACAGGAUUAGAAACCCGUGUAGU
rnacentral:rRNA from 1 species